CAACUUUUCCAACUGCCUGUGCUUUUAUUUAGUUUUUGAGGUGUUUCAGGAAGGUGCUAGGAGGUCACAUGUUAGAGCUAAUGUCUAAGUCACUUCCAUUUAGUGGAAUGGUUGUGGAUGUUACUCAUAGGAUUUGCUGAGGAAGAUUUUGUUGGGUCUUGUGUUCAACACCCUGUUACCAGAGAACUCUGUCCAACUUUAACCUGAGAUCUGCUGUGACCAUUUGAUUCAUUUCCUCUUCUAACUUGAGUCAGUUCUUAUUUCUUAACCAGUGUGUUUGUCUGGUUUCCCUCUCCACACAACCCACAACACACCAGACAUAGACGGGCACACACUCUUCACUACUUGUUAUACUUUUAUUGUAAAUUAUGAGGAAAACAGAAGGCAGGCAUGGGUGAGGACAGAAGUAGAAGAAUAUAUGGUCAUUUAAUCCCAGGUUCGUUCCUGUGAACAUCUUGUUGGCUUUACCGUUAAGGUUACCCUUUGGUUAUUGCUGAAUUUGCUCAGCAGUUGUUUGUAAAGUGAAUUGAACUCUGAAGAGCUGAGAAGGCGGCAGAUGGGUACACGAUGAAAUGCUCAGGUUUGGAAUCAGACUCCUGGUGCAGACCCAGCUCUUAUCGAC
rnacentral:lncRNA from 1 species